rnacentral:rRNA from 1 species
AGUGAACGCUGGCGGUAGGCCUAACACAUGCAAGUCGAACGGCAGCACAGUAAGAGCUUGCUCUUACGGGUGGCGAGUGGCGGACGGGUGAGGAAUACAUCGGAAUCUACUUUUUCGUGGGGGAUAACGUAGGGAAACUUACGCUAAUACCGCAUACGUCCUACGGGUGAAAGCAGGGGAUCUUCGGACCUUGCGCGAUUGAAUGAGCCGAUGUCGGAUUAGCUAGUUGGCGGGGUAAAGGCCCACCAAGGCGACGAUCCGUAGCUGGUCUGAGAGGAUGAUCGGCCACACUGGAACUGAGACACGGUCCAGACUCCUACGGGAGGCAGCAGUGGGGAAUAUUGGACAAUGGGCGCAAGCCUGACCGAGCAAUGCCGCGUGGGUGAAGAAGGCCUUCGGAUUGUAAAGCUCUGUUAUUAGGAAAGAAAAAAAGUGGAAGUAACUCCGGAUGUCUUGACGGUACCUAAAGAAAAAGCCCCGGCUAACUACGUG